AUGACUUUGAGCUCCAUCCUCAUCUGGACUCUCCUCUGCUGCUGCUUGACAGAGUCCAGAGGCCAGGUCACAGUGACUCAGCCUGGAGCAGUGAGGGCUGCUCUGGGAGCCUCCAUCACCAUCACAUGUAAAACCAGCCAAAAGGUUGAAAGUUGUAGCAGUGCCUACUGUUUAUCUUGGUACCAACAGAAAGAUGGAGAAACUCCUAAACUUCUCAUUUACCUGACUAAUACUCGACAAUCAGGUAUUCCAGGUCGUUUUACAGGCAGUGGAUCAGGGAGUGACUUCACUCUGACCAUCAGUGGAGUCCAGGCUGAAGAUGCAGCAGUUUACUACUGUCUGAGUCGCCACUAUAUCAACAGUCAGCGUCUGUUCACACAUGGAGGAGGAAAUGGGGGAACCAACAAGUUCAAUGCAGUCUCCAACUGA